GGGCCCGCACAAGCGGCGGAGCAUGUGGAUUAAUUCGAUGCAACGCGAAGAACCUUACCUGGGUUUGACAUGCACAGGACGCGUCUAGAGAUAGGCGUUCCCUUGUGGCCUGUGUGCAGGUGGUGCA
rnacentral:rRNA from 1 species